AAUCAAAACAAUGAAUGCCAUAAAUGCUGUGCAGUUGUUCAUUAUGGUUUGGACCUUCACCGCUGUCUGUCAAGCUGAUGUUGAUUUCUGCAGUGUAACUUGUCAAAAUGUGACUGGAUCUGUGGGGAAAGAAGCAACUUUCACCUGCAACAUCUCUAAGCAGUGUGCUAAAUGCUGCGUUGUAAUGUAUAAGUUUCAAUACCCUGAGAGCUAUAAAGACUCAACAAUCCAUAAAGAAGUGUUUCCUGUGAACUCUUGUGAACAGAGAAACAGCUUCACAUGCCGCUACACUCCACCUACAGCAAUGACAGAAAAAUGCAGUUUCUUUGUGCAAACAAAGUGUGGAGUCAAAAGAACAUUAUUCACUGUAGACGUAAAUCUAAAUACUGCGACCAUCAAACCUGAAAUCAUCACUGAAGUCGUCACUCCUGGAAAGACAGAAAAACCUCCCUGGGACGGAUCAGAAACAUCUUUACAGAAGAAAGCAGAAGACAUGAUGAAGACAACAGCAAUCAUCCAGAAAAUGUUAUAUAACAGAAUUGACUCAGCAGUACCAAACAUUUAUUUUUUUUAUUUGUUUGAAUAA
ensembl:lncRNA